UGCCUGGCUCCCUGUAUGCCAUUUGCAGAGCCCAUCAGGACAGUGAUGGCCUUAACGAAUGGCGUGCGAGGAGCCAUGCAUGUUGUGCGUU
rnacentral:pre_miRNA from 1 species